rnacentral:lncRNA from 1 species
UUAUCUUCAUUCGUUGUUCGAUGUUGAUAUUCCUUCUUUGCUUGUGGACAAUUGCUGUAUGCUCGCAGUUGUAUCCCCAGCCAGUCUUCUGGAUCAUUGCCGUAUGCUUGCAAUGUUAUCCCUUUUGAAGUUGCCAGUGGGCCCUUUCACCGUUUGCUAGUGAUUUGUUCCCAGGAGUAUUGAUUGUAUAUCAAUACAUCCCCAGCUAGUCCUUGUGGGUAAUUGCCGGAUGUUUGCAAUUCAUCCUCAG